UAAAACCAUAGUCCCCAAACUUUAUAACCAAUAUCCUACUUUAGCUUCUAGAAGCCUGUUGCGGUUCUAGUUCUUAUGCUCAACGAUACACAAAGCAUCUAGUCAUAUUUGGCUAUAAAUCCGCUAACCAAGCCACUUCUUAAUUCUCAAAGCUUUGAUGGUAAAGUCAAAGAUCUUAUGAGUUUUUGGUCUUGAAUCGUAUAACAAGGAAGCACUACUUUACUUUUCGGGAUCUCGUUGAGGUUCUAGUUUUAUAUAUUCAAUCAUAC
rnacentral:sRNA from 1 species